rnacentral:tRNA from 3 species
GCGCCCAUAGCUCAACUGGAUAGAGCGUCCGGCUACGAACCGUAAGGUUGCAGGUUCAAGUCCUGCUGGGCGCA